GAUGAACGCUAGCGGCAGGCUUAAUACAUGCAAGUCGAGGGGCAGCAUGAUUGUAGCAAUACAAUUGAUGGCGACCGGCAAACGGGUGCGGAACACGUACACAACCUCCCAAUAAGUGGGGAAUAGCCCAGAGAAAUUUGGAUUAAUACCCCGUAACAUAACGAUGUGGCAUCACAUUGUUAUUAUAGAUUUUUCGCUUAUUGAUGGGUGUGCGGCUGAUUAGAUAGUUGGCGGGGUAACGGCCCACCAAGUCUACGAUCAGUAGCUGAUGUGAGAGCAUGAUCAGCCACACGGGAACUGAGACACGGGCCCGGCUCCUACGAGAGGCAGCAGUAAGGAAUAUUGGACAAUGGACGCAAGUUUGAUCCAGCCAUGCCGCGUGAAGGAUUAAGGUCCUCUGGAUUGUAAACUUCUUUUAUAAGGGACGAAAAAAGGCUUUUCUAAGUCGUCUGACGGUACCUUAUGAAUAAGCACCGGCUAACUCCGUGCCAGCCGCCGCAGUAAAAC
rnacentral:rRNA from 1 species